UACGGAGGGAGCUAGCGUUGUUCGGAAUUACUGGGCGUAAAGCGCGCGUAGGCGGCUUUGUAAGUUAGAGGUGAAAGCCUGGAGCUCAACUUCAGAAUUGCCUUUAAGACUGCAUCGCUUGAAUCCGGGAGAGGUGAGUGGAAUUCCGAGUGUAGAGGUGAAAUUCGUAGAUAUUCGGAGGAACACCAGUGGCGAAGGCGGCUCACUGGUCCAUUACUGACGCUGAGGUGCGAAAGCGUGGGGAGCAAACAGG
rnacentral:rRNA from 1 species